AGUUGUAGACAAAAGUCUGUGACAUCUCCUUCCCUACCUUGUGCUAAACUUUACAGCAACCCUGCUCCUUCUACAAUAGGUCUCUUGGUGCCACUGUCAAGGGUGACUCUUUGAUCAUUGGUGUGACCCAAACAUAACACCACUUAAGGGAUCCAAGGAUCUCAAGUCGGUUUCACUCACCAAGGCUGGCCUCGGCCAACAGCAGGUAAGCAGGCACA
rnacentral:lncRNA from 10 species